UCGGCUCUGCCUCAAGCGGGAUUUUGUGCACAGAGGUGAGUGACUGCGAGCCGUCUUCGGGUCGGCCGGUCACGGUACUUGAGAGGGAGGCCUACUUCUCAGUACCUUUGAUAUUGAUGAGUUGUAGAUGUGGUGCAUACAUGUUGAGAUCUUUGACUGCAGUCGUUUCUUUAUGAUGUCAUGUUUAUUAAAACUGCUUACACAGGUUCAUUUACACUAAUUUAUUCCUGUGUAUUGCUGAGAUGUGGCAAGUUUCAAACCUAUAGCUCUAAGAGCACCUUUCUUGUUUUUCGGCGUUUGCCCACUGAGUAUUAUGUACUCACGCCCUGCAUGUAUUUCUAAAUGUGCAGGCUAAGCGAGGAGCGAGAUUGGUCUGGUUCUGGUGGGGGAUUGUUUAGUUGAUGUAUUUACUUUAUCGCAUUUCCAUUUUGUCGAUACUGUCUUGAUGAUUGAGUUACUUUAUUUUCUUUUGAAUCAAGCAAUGUACUCUCGGUUAUGUGUCUUCAUACAUAUAAUCAGUUCGCCUUUUGCUGCGAUACUCUGAAUUUUAUGCUUCCUUAUAAAAAAUGAGCUAUACCCGCUUUGUU
rnacentral:lncRNA from 1 species